UACAGAGACUGCAAGCGUUAUUCGGAUUCACUGGGCGUAAAGCGCACGUAGGCGGCUUUGUAAGUUAGAGGUGAAAGCCCGGGGCUCAACUCCGGAACUGCCUUUAAGACUGCAUCGCUUGAAUCCAGGAGAGGUGAGUGGAAUUCCGAGUGUAGAGGUGAAAUUCGUAGAUAUUCGCAAGAACACCAGUGGCGAAGGCGGCUCACUGGCCCGGUACUGACGCUGAGGUGCGAAAGCGUGGGGAGCAAACAGG
rnacentral:rRNA from 1 species